rnacentral:rRNA from 1 species
UAACAGGUGACGGGGAAUCAGGGUUCGAUUCCGGAGAGGGAGCCUGAGAAACGGCUACCACAUCCAAGGAAGGCAGCAGGCACGCAAAUUACCCACUCUCAGAACGAGGAGGUAGUGACGAAAAAUAACAAUACGGGACUAUUAAUAGGCCCCGUAAUUGGAAUGAGUACAAUAUAAAUCCUUUAACGAGGAUCUAUUGGAGGGCAAAUCUGGUGCCAGCAGCCGCGGUAAUUCCAGCUCUAAUAGCGUAUAUUAAAGUUGCUGCGUUUAAAAAGCUCGUAGUUGUAUCUCAGUCCAUGUCAAUUGGUCAAUCACUUAAUAGUGAUUACUUUUUGACUGGACAUUAAACCGAUUUGUCUUCUGAUGCUCUUUACCGGGUGUU